UCUGAAGGGGAGUCAGCAUCCAUCUGACGCUCCCUCAGAAAUCCCCGCAGCGAUUUCUGAUUCCUGACCCCGUCCUUCAGAGACGAGGGAACGAGGCUCAGAGAGGCUGAGUGGCUUGCCCAACGCUGCACAGCCAGGAGGAGUCUGAACUAAACCGAGGCGGCGGGUGGGACUUCCCUCCCUCCGGCCGCUCUCGGGUCUCCCAGGCACAGGAUCCCCUGGCGGCCAGGAGGGGGUUUUCCUGCCCCGGUUUCCUGCCGAGGCCCGGGGACACCAGCGCCCGCGAGCCCGCGGUGACAGUCCCGGGACUUCGGGGCUUUUCCGUGCAGGCCGAACCUCCAGGGUUUGGGAGAGGACUUCGCUGCCGGCAGGGAGCGCCAGCAUCUCCACCACCACUCACGGGGCUGCGGGAACCAACUGAAUAAGCCUGGGGAAAUGACUCAGGUCUGUUUCACAUUUGUAAAUGGUUAGCUUGCUUCAACAGCAAUCCCCUACGAUUCUUGUCUGGAAGGAGAGCGUCCGCCCUGAAGGGGCAAGAAAGGGGUAGCAGUGAGUGUAAACAGCAUGGCUGCACCUUCCACUUAUGCCAAGUAUCUGUGGAUGCAGCCAGAAAACCAUCAGAGUUACCAGCUUCAAUCCAUAAAAUGCACAAGGCUGGAUGACCUCACUUCAAAUGAUGAGUUGUUGAAGAAGGCUGGAGCAAUGGAUCCCCAUGAUAGCAAGAUUUAAUUGUGAAAGCAUGAAAUUAUUAAGGCCCAAAGGUUGAAGUACGAAGUGAAAUUCUGACUCACCAUCAAGAAUAUUUACGGCCUUGGCAAUACAUCUCAGCAGUC